UACGUAGGUGGCAAGCGUUGUCCGGAUUUACUGGGCGUAAAGAGCGCGCAGGCGGUCGUUCAAGUCGCGUGUGAAAGCCCCCCGGCUCAACUGGGGAGGGUCACGCGAUACUGAUCGACUCGAAGGCAGGAGAGGGUAGUGGAAUUCCCGGUGUAGUGGUGAAAUGCGUAGAUAUCGGGAGGAACACCAGUGGCGAAGGCGGCUUUCUGGCCUGUUCUUGACGCUGAGGCGCGAAAGCCAGGGGAGCAAACGGG
rnacentral:rRNA from 1 species